GCCUGCGUGGGGAACAGAAACCGUUUUAAGCUCCAGACGGAGACAGUUGAAAGCGCAGGGCGACAUCUGGGCGGUUCGGCGACAAUGGCGAGCAGAUUAGCAUUGUUUGAGAUUAAAUCAGGAUAAACAGUUUUAGAAUAAAUAAAUGAGGAUCAACAGUUCUAGAUUAAUUACAUCAGCAUUAACAUCUUUAGAUUAAAUACAUUAGGUUAAACUGUUUUAAAUGAAAUCCAUUAGGUUAAACUGUUUCAGAUGAAAUCCAUUAGCAUAAACAGUUUUAGAUGGAAUAGCCUGUUCCAGCCACCAACAGGUGAAUAGAAACAUGGCCAGACAAGGCUAGAUCAAUAAUACCACAUGGGAAAUGUGGGUAUGACGGAAAGAAGUAGUCCGAGAGUAGCAGCAAUAGUAAUAAUACAGUUAUAGAAGAGCCUAAUAUUAUAAAGUCAAGUUUUGCAGUGCCUUUCAUUCAGGACUCAAGGCACUUUACACGUGGGAGUCACAGAUCAAAGUUGCAACAUUAAAGAAUAGGAAAAAUGACAAACAAAGGAUUUCAAAGUGGCCCUCCGCCUCCGACCUGUUUCAGGGCUGUUCCCCACCCAGGUGUUGACCAGGAGUCCCUCCCCAGGCCCCGAGGAGCUACCCAGCACCGCCUGGCCCAGGAGCUGGGCGUCCUGAGGGACCUGCAGGGGCUGGAAGUCUCCCUUCAGGGCUCUCUUGGUGCAGUUGCGGUUCUUCUUG